GGGCGACUAGCUCAGCGGGAGAGCGCUUCCUUCACACGGAAGAGGUCAGUGGUUCAAACCCACUGUCGCCCAUCA
rnacentral:tRNA from 1 species